AAUUUCCCUUCACGACCAACUACCUAAUUCCAUUUCUCUUCAUUACUCCUACCGACAUCACCAUCAACAACUUCUCCUUCCUCAUCUUCCAUCAAUUAAUCUCCCCCCAUAACCACUCAAGGAUCAUCUAUCUCUCUCUCUUACAAUCACAUUGUCAAUAAUAAAAUCUAGCCAAAACUAGGUUUGCGGGAGCUAUAUAUAGCUGCUACACCAUCAGAAGAGGAGACAAGCAUUUAGUUGACGCUGCAAGUAGUAUGCAGAAGGGGGGAAAUGGCACAGAAACAUUUAUGGUAGCAAAAUUGUCGUCGAGUGUACACGUGCCACUUACAGGUAGAGAGAAAAGAUUAAAGGAUUGGUGGGGCAGAAAAUGCUAAACGUGGGACAGAUGCAAAGGCAAAAAAACUCGGACAGAUGCGGGACUGAGAAAAAGGGAGAGAAAAAGCAACGUGGCGCCCAUCCGUGCUUCACGCCAAAAGCACCCCAUGCUAAUCCAAGGUCCAGGGAAUGCCACCUCUUUUCCCGCAUCUGUCCAACGUUUUUUGUCCUGCGUCUAGCGGCUCCAGUUGGGGAGAUUGUUUUCACUUUCUUUAGAAUUCAUCCUAGUGUUAAUCUCUGAGGCAAACUAAAUCAUUCGCAGAUACUCGCCUCAUCUACUCUCUAAGCUGGAGGGACUGUCUUAAUCAGUCUCCCCAACCUGCUGCGGUGAGCACUAAUAAGGCCGGCUCUACAUUCGAGCACAAGGUUCUAGUUGUUGGAUAUCUAGAGAUGCAAGUUCUUGUGUAGAAAUGGCGGAAACCAUGGAGAAUAUUGCAAAUUUAGCUUGCCCUAUUGUAGUACAGAACGUGCUCCAAAGAUGACGUGCUCCCUGUCUAAUCCAAUUCUUUAACCAAUGGUAACCUAGCUUGAAGAAUUUAUAAGUUGGUAUAAAAUGAAGAAAAUGGAAUCUCCUCAAUUGGUCUUGUUACACGAUCUACCUCGGAAACACACCAUCGGGUGCGGAAAGUCAUGUGGAGACGACUCAUUAAAUUGUUGCAGAAGGGGGUAUGAAGAUGAGAUAAGAUUUCAAUACAUUGAUGGUGAGUUGGUCCUACUUGAUAUCAUUUUCGCAUACCCUCUCUCCAUUUUCUGUUACUUUCCUACGGACCUUACCUACCUCUCUCUCUCCUUCUCUCCUUACUUGCAAGACGAAACUAGUAUGACGUGUAUGUAAUGGUGUGUUUACUAUUUUCAUGAUCUCUCCAUAGAACUGCAUUACAACAUUUUUGUUUAACUUCCUUUACUGUCAGAAAUGGUGGUCCUUAUUGAAGAUUUAGUAUUGGACUUUUAUAGUACA